rnacentral:lncRNA from 1 species
UAAGUGCUGUGAGCCACAAGUAACAUCAAGAAAAGACAGGGAUGAAGAACCGCACUUACAAGCUAAGGUGUAAGCUCAUCCUACACAUGUCAUUUGGACCAGACCAAGGCUGCUGUCAUGGAGGACCCACACCACAGCUUGGGAACCAUUCAUCUACCAGAGGGUCACAUGACUUCAAAUGACUCUUCUAGGGGCCACCUGCCAUGAUAGGGUACCAGCUCUUCCUCUGAAUUCCCAAUCCAUUUCUUGAGAACUACUGUUUCUAAUAAGGAGGGGAAGAAGGUCAUGUGGGAAUCAGUUAAAUCACGUGUGGAUAGAAGACAAGUUCCAGCUUUGUGGGAAAUCCUGUAGCCUUCGCCAGGUACACCCUGACAAUCUCAGAACUGAUCAGGAGUUUUUGUUCCAUGUGAGAUACCCACGCCACUUUAAAAAACAAACUAUCCUGACAUCUAAUUACUUUGUGAAUGAUUGUAAUGGCAAUAACAAUAGAGAUGGAAGAAUUUUGGAAACAA